GACGUAGGUGGCGAACGUUAUCCGGAAUUAUUGGGCGUAAAGGGUGCGUAGAUGGUUUGAUAAGUUAGCAGUGGGAAAUCGAGGCUCAACCUCGUGGAAGCUGGUAAUACUGUCAGGCUCGAGUGCAGGAGAGGUUAACGGAACUCCAUGUGGAGCGGUAAAAUGUGUAGAUAUAUGGAAGAACACCAAUAACGGCGAAGGCAGUUAACUAUUCUGUUACUGACAUUGAGGCACGAAAGCGUGGGGAGCAAAACGG
rnacentral:rRNA from 1 species